AUGACUCCCAGCCUGGCCAUCGCCUUCCUCCUGCUGCUCCCAGCAGGUGUCUAUUCCCAGGUCAGCCUGGUGGAAUCCGGUGGGGGAAUCAAAAAGCCCGGGGAGACCCUCACAGUGACCUGCAGCUUGUCCGGAUUCUCUCUCACUAGCUACGUGGUGCAGUGGGCCCGCCAGCCAGCGGGGAAGGGGCUGGAAUGGGUCAGAGCCAUAUGGUCUAGUGGAGGCACUGCCUAUACCGAUGCUCUCAAAAAUUGCCUCACCGUCAUCAGAGACAACUCCAGGAGCCAAGUGUUCCUGCAACUGACCGGCCUGCAGCCCGGAGACACCUAUGUGUAUUACUCUGUCAGGUACUAG